AUUGCCUCAGUAACGGCGAGUGAAGCGGCAAAAGCUCAAAUUUGAAAUCUAGCACCUUCGGUGUUCGAGUUGUAAUUUGAAGAUGGUAACCUUGGGUUUGGCUCUUGUCUAUGUUCCUUGGAACAGGACGUCAUAGAGGGUGAGAAUCCCGUCUGAUGAGAUGCCCAUUCCUAUGUAAGGUGCUAUCGAAGAGUCGAGUUGUUUGGGAAUGCAGCUCUAAGUGGGUGGUAAAUUCCAUCUAAAGCUAAAUAUUGGCGAGAGACCGAUAGCGAACAAGUACAGUGAUGGAAAGAUGAAAAGAACUUUGAAAAGAGAGUGAAAAAGUACGUGAAAUUGUUGAAAGGGAAGGGCAUUAGAUCAGACUUGGUGUUUUACGAUUAUCUUCUCUUCUUGAGUUGUGCACUCGUAUUUCACUGGGCCAGCAUCGAUUCGGAUGGCAAGAUAAUGGCAGUUGAAUGUGGCUUCACUUCGGUGGAGUGUUAUAGCUUCUGUUGAUAUUGCCUGUCUGGAUCGAGGGCUGCGUCUUUUGACUAGGAUGCUGGCGUAAUGAUCUAAUGCCGC
rnacentral:rRNA from 1 species